UAGAUUUCCUUAGAAGUUUCCAGAGCUGAAUUCUGACACGGACCAGAUAUCCCUGGAAUUCUCUCCUCAGCAGGAGGUUACUUCAAGGCUGGAGUUCACUCUCAGCUAGAGAUUGACUGCGAUUGAUUUGUGAGCUGCGUGGACUCAUGAUGGUGCUGGCCCCUUCAGCAGAUGGAACAAUAAUUCAAAAGAAGCCAUUGGAGCGAGACAUGCCACCUGGUACCUCCUAGCCCC
rnacentral:lncRNA from 10 species